rnacentral:lncRNA from 1 species
GCGACAGUUCAUCAGUCGUUCUCCCCUGUCAAAAGAAUAACUCUGAACCCGCAGUAGGGGUAUAUAUAGGUGAGGAACACGUCAGAAAAUGGGCCCAAGUCCAACGAGUCACCGCUGGGCGGUUUAAGUGUGCCGCCCGGUGGUUUUCCAUAAAUCACCCUACCACCCGGCGGCAAUCACCACCGCCGGGCGGUUUCCCUCCAGUCCGCCCAGCGUCAAUCGACAUGCCUUCUCCUCGUCCUAGACCGCCUGGUUGUUUAAGUAUGCC